UACGUAGGGGGCAAGCGUUGUCCGGAUUUAUUGGGCGUAAAGCGCUCGCAGGUGGUUCGUCGCGUCGUGCGUGAAAGACCCCGGCUCAACUGGGGGAGGUCGUGCGAUACGGGCGAGCUGGAGGCCAGUAGGGGGAUGCGGAAUUCCGGGUGUAGUGGUGGAAUGCGUAGAGAUCCGGAGGAACACCAGCGGCGAAGGCGGCAUCCUGGACUGGUCCUGACACUCAGGAGCGAAAGCGUGGGGAGCGAUCCGG
rnacentral:rRNA from 1 species